rnacentral:rRNA from 1 species
UGAGGAAUAUUGGUCAAUGGGCGAGAGCCUGAACCAGCCAAGUAGCGUGCGGGAAGACGGCCCUAUGGGUUGUAAACCGCUUUUGAUUGGGAACAAAGAGCGCCACGUGUGGUGCGUUGCGUGUACCUUUCGAAUAAGCAUCGGCUAAUUCCGUGCCAGCAGCCGCGGUAAUACGGAAGAUGCGAGCGUUAUCCGGAUUUAUUGGGUUUAAAGGGUGCGUAGGCUGUUUGUCAAGUCAGAGGUGAAAGGCCGCAGCUCAACUGUGGAAUUGCCUUUGAUACUGGCAGGCUUGAAUACUGUUGCCGUGGGAGGAAUGAGUAGUGUAGCGGUGAAAUGCAUAGAUAUUACUCAGAACACCGAUUGCGAAGGCAUCUCACGAAGCAGACAUUGACGCUGAGGCACGAAAGCGUGGGGAU